AUCCUCCCAUCCACGAUGCUCCCAAACUCGAGCACGAUGGUGAUACGGGUUUUCGAAACUGGUAUCGGAAUCGUGACCUUCCACAUCAUGAUUACCGAACUCCUGCUCCGCCAAACGUUGGGUUAACUCCGUAACUUGUCUCUGCAAAUCUUCAAUCGUCACAUCCUGAAUAUUACGAUCACGAUGCGGGACUUCCUCAAUCGGAACCUGUCCUCGACGACCACGACCACGUCCACCAACCAUUAUAAUUGAUGGAAUUUAUCUCCCAAGAAGAUGCUGACGCUCUGAUACCAACUGACGCCGGGUAGGAUAGUGAUUAUCCUAUUGGCUUGUUGUAGCAGAUGAUU
rnacentral:lncRNA from 1 species